UGAAACCCGCAGUCCUCAUGAAAGUCAACCGAACCGGUACAGAGGAGAUAAAAGAAAACCCAGCCACGACUCUGCCUUCCUAUCCCAUCUCCGCCUCAAUCGCGCCACCACCUCCUGCUGCCCCACAUCGCCGCGCGCCGCCGCCUGUCUAACUCCUCCCGUAAAUCGGCUCGGGAGAGAGGAGGGGAGGGGAAGAUCCCAUGGAGGCGGAGGAACACCAAACGUCCUUGCCUGCAGCGCACCCAUGAGAUCCAAUUGCUGACAGCGGGCUGAGUCAAGUUCAGGGGGGCGCUUCCUGGACUGGUCGGCUGACAUCCCGUGUUGGGUGGCGACGGCCUGUGCGAGCCAUCGGGCAAGGAAGUUGUAAGGACGACGUCCAGCCUCAGCCUUCAUGUUGGUUAUUGUAGCCUGAGAAGAGGAGCUGCAGAUUCAGAGUGUAUGUGAUAUCCCUACUAGAUGAGUCCUACCAGAUUGCUACAGCAUUCAUGCAGGGAAUAGGCAAAAGGAGAGGUAUUGGCACUUCAGAAAAGGGUGUUGGCUGUUCUGAUUGAGGCCAGGCAUGAAAUCUCUUAUUUCAUUGUUAGUUCUUUGUUGAAGCUGUACUUAUUUUGCGUAGCAUUUCAGGCAAUGUUUAGACUUCAGAUAACACAUGUCCCUAGAUUACAUAGUAUGCAUGCCCUCUGUUACCUGCUGAAUGUCUCUGGGGUUUCUAAAAAUGUUCAGAAUAAUCUAAAUUUCAGAAAUUCUUCGUGGAUUAUGAUUGGUAGUUAUAUGCCACCAGAUAGCAAGACUGCUACUUGAACAAUUUGUUAUCCAUGAAGCUUAGGUGUGCUACACGAACUAAAUUUGCUAUCAUUUUCCACCAUUUUCUAAGGCCAGCAGAGCCAGACACACUUUAGUUACCCUAAGGAAGUACUUUUACCCUUUUUUUUGUCAAUGACCCACCAGUCACCACAAGUUCAAAUGAUUAGUUUAUUGAAAUUCAUUAACAGUACAUAUUUACUGCUGUUUAUUUGCAUAUGUGAUAUCUCAAUUUCACUUCUCAACAUGAUAUUUGCAGCUUAUUCAUUACUCAACCGACCUGCUUUUGUUGUAAUUUUUUAUUCGCGUUUCUCAGAUUUAUUUGAUGUCCAAUGCUAUAUUAUGUGCAUCUAUGAACCAUAAUUUGAUUGUGUUUAGUGCGUCCUGCACGAUUGACUUGAAAAGUACCUCAAUGCAGCCUUGUGAGUCAUAUGUAUGGUGCAUUUAGUUCCUUUUUCCAUUUAUUAUACACUGUACUAUUUUGACAUACCCCUUAAGAUGAUUGAAACAACCCCCUUAAGAUGAUUGAAAUAAUAUUGUUAUGCAUGAUUAUUGAUAACUCGGCUGAUUAGGUAGUAAAUGGUAACUAUACCAUGUACGAUGCAUUUCCCCUUCAAAAUGUAGCAUAUGUUUUUAUUAAUUUUUGGAUGCAAAACCAUCUGCACACUAGCAUGCAUCCACCCUUUCAAAGAAAAUAAUAAAAUGAUAUCAGUAGUUCAGCACGAUUGGAAGAUAUCAGUAGUUCAGCACACCAUGGCAGCACGUGCGUGGCCAGCCAAUGUACGCUCUACUAGCACCAUAGUGAAUUCCAGCGACCUACGGCUAGGAAGUGCAUGAGCUGAUGCUAGCAUGCCCUGACAAAACAUGAAAAAACUGGCUCUCUGAUGUAACUACCGCCUAAGAGGUUGUUUCGAUACAGUUAUCGUAUUUUAGAGAAUAAUUACCAGGUUCUCUGAUGUAGUUGACAUGUUCUCUGAUGUAUUUUAGAAAAUAAUUACAGCUAGCUCGGCGACAAGGGCUCUGGGUCAUCAGCUUCGGCAAGUGGAGGUACAAGUUCAGGCACGACGAGCUUUUUCCCGUAAAGAUGUGACAUUGGUGUUUGAAUCUUCCUUCUGAUCCUGUUAAUGAUAACGAGGUUCUCUUGAUAGAAUGUGAAGUUGUCCCUUGUUUUGUUAGCCUUUGCGCUAUAUUGUGUUCUUCGUCAAACACAAAUCGCUACCAACAGGGUGUGGUGUGGACCCGUGGACUUCCACGACACAGCCUUCAGCACUGUUCCAACAUGCUCUGGUCCUCGGACUCUAUCUGUUUGUACAACGUCAAAGACAGCGUGAUGGUUGCCUCCGGACAAUGGCAGGCAUUCUUCCUGAAGCAGGAGGACAUGCAUGUCCCGAUUCAAUGGCGAUGUGUAGAGGUGUUGCCCUGUCACAUGAGCAGCCACAUGGUGACUGUCUUCACGGGACUUCUUCUUUCUACCAAGAGCACCGGCUUCCUGAAGGGACAAAACUAUGGAGGGGCGGUGAACAGAUGAUGUUGGAGUACUACAUGUGGUGUGUUCCUGCAGCACAAACAUGGUAGCCACGUCUAGCUCCGCCUCGGGGCUUCCUCUACUCAUUAAUUUUGCUUUGUGCAUGAUAUCUCCCGUUAAGUUCACCAGGAUCACGUUAAGUUUUUCUCCCGUUGCAACGCACGGGCAUUUGUGCUAUUAAUAAUAAAGCACGGAUUGACUUUAUCGGGUUCACCGUCACAAUACGCUUCUUCCCA